ensembl:lncRNA
CCCUCCGUGCUCUGCAGCACACAGCACAGAGCUGGUAUGCAGCGCUGGUAGCGUUUGACUGAGACAAAUGUUCUCCAUGUGAACACAGGGGCUGUGUCUUAUUUAAUUUUGUCAUUUUCAAUUAAACUUUGCAUGUACUUCUGUUACCGCUUUGAGUCCUGUUUAGUGCUAAUAUUUAAUAUACAAGCACAUCAAAAGUGUUUUUCAUAUUUCAGCUACAUUUUUUUAAACAUUCCUUCAAAGAUAAAUAUAAUGUUUUAUUUUAGCUUCUUGCUUUCUAAGUUGUGUUGCUACAGAAAUGUUGGUGGCUCAGUCCAAUUAGUAUCACAUCAGUAUUUUCAUAUAUUUGGAAUGAGAAGGGAGGAGGACAGGAAAACAGUCUGUGACGGCACUGAACACUGCUCCAUGUAAAACUAAUGGAAGAGAAGUGAAAUAGCAUGGGAUAUUAUCACCAUACUUUUUUUUUCCCUAAAAUGCCUUCUGAAGUUAUCUGUAUAUUUUAAAUUUCCCACAGUGAUACACUUCAAGUUUUUAAAACAACACAAACAUUUGCCUUGGCUAACAGCCUAGUGUAAAGAAUAAAAAUUAUCAACACAACCGAAUGGCCUUAAAAGACAAGGUAUUCUCCCCAUGGAGAAGAAGAGAAUGUAAAAGUAAUCUGUGCAGGCACAAUUCUAUUCACGUGGAGCCAGCAAAAACAAGUGUGUUGAGACAGUUAUCUCUUUUAAAUGGAGAGAUUGCUUUGGCGACCUGUCCAUCAUCUCUCCAGGAUGCUCGCAUACUACCUGACCAGAUUACUUUGAACACAAUUAAUAUUUGUUCUAUAUCCUGUAGGUGCUUUUCCAGUAACGACAUGACAUUAUUUAUUGCUCUUCUUCAUGAAGUAAUAAAAAACCCAGAGAUGCAAUGGAGUCUAAAGAUCCACUGGCAGAAGGUUGUGAGCAGGUUACCUGAACUGUAUAAUGCUACAAAGUUGGGAUCACCGUUAUCCUGCAGGAGUGUUUACUGGAUUGUCAGCCUAUGGGAGAUAUAUUGGAUGUUUCAGCCCUUUCCCUUCAAGUAAGCUGUAAAAUGCAUUGGGGCUCUGAAAUGUGAACUUUCUGAAACCUUUGUGCGAUAAGCUCAGAUGAUUCAACCCUCCUCUGCUCAGUGCGGGUCCCAUCACUCCUGCUGGGAUCUAGAACUGUUUGACAUGAAUAAACCUUUGUGAUGAACUGACUUUUGGUCUGUG